AUGCAGCUUUACCGUAUCCAUGUCAGCUCAAUGCUAACGGUCAAAUCACACAAAUAGUACUUCUUCACAAACGAAAUUUCCUCGAAGCUCAGCUCACUAACGGUCAAAAAAAUGCUUCACCCUAUCCAGCAAAAGUCCUUCCAUUUAACCCUCCCUUCUUCUUCCUCUCUCUCACCUCCAAUCCUAUUUCUCUCUCUAAUCUCUCAUUCUCUCUCCUUUUUUUCCACCAUGAAGCUCGUUAAAAUUAUCCCUAAAAAGCUCUUCAACUCCAAGAAAUCCCGAUCCGUUUCCACGUCCGAAACCAAUCGGUCUUCAUCCUUCAGCUCUCAAACGACCACGUCGGAGGAGGAUGAUCCGCAAACCGGCUUCAAGAAGGCCAAUAGCUUAGCCACUCCGACCAGCGCACUACCCUCGUUAUCCUCAGAAAUAUCAGUCGACGAAUGGUCCGAAAUAUCUGCGGAUGUGUACUUUGAACUAAAAAAGGAGUUCGAAAUGAUAGACAGGUA
rnacentral:lncRNA from 1 species